UAACAUAUAUAAAAUUGAGAAUGGAAAUGGGGAAUGUGUCAAAGAGACAACAACCCGACCAAAUAAAAAACAACAGCAGAGGGUCACCAACAGGUCUUCAAUGUAGCGAGAAAUUCCCGCACCCGGAGGCGUCCUUCAGCUGGCCCCCAAACAAAUAUAUACUAGUCCAGUGAUAAUGAACGCCAUACUAAUUUCCAAAUUGUACACAAGAAACUAAAAUUAAAAUAAUACAAGACUAACAAAGGCCAGAGGCUCCUGACUUGGGACAGGCGCAAAAAUGCGGCGGGGUUAAACAUGUUUGUGAGAUCUCAACCCUCCCCCUAUACCUCUAACCAAUGUAGUAAAGUAAACGAAUAACAAUACGCACA
rnacentral:lncRNA from 1 species